AUAGUAGAUAAGAGGGCAUCUUCUUGUUUUUAAAAGACCUAGCAAUAGGUAUGCUUAGGGAGGAGCUUGCGUCACAUUAGUUAGUUGGUGGGGUAAAGGCCUAACAAGACUAUGAUGUGUAGCCGGGCUGAGAGGUUGAACGGCCACAUUGGGACUGAGACACGGCCCAAACUCCUACGGGAGGCAGCAGUAGGGAAUUUUCGGCAAUGGAGGAAACUCUGACCGAGCAACGCCGCGUGAACGAUGAAGUAUUUCGGUACGUAAAGUUCUUUUAUUAGGGAAGAAUAAAUGAUGGAAAAAUCAUUCUGACGGUACCUAAUGAAUAAGCCCCGGCUAACUAUGUGCCAGCAGCCGCGGUAAUACAUAGGGGGCAAGCGUUAUCCGGAAUUAUUGGGCGUAAAGGGUGCGUAGGCGGUUAAAUAAGUUUAUGGUCUAAGUGCAAUGCUCAACAUUGUGAUGCUAUAAAAACUGUUUAGCUAGAGUAAGAUAGAGGCAAGUGGAAUUCCAUGUGUAGUGGUAAAAUGCGUAAAUAUAUGGAGGAACACCAGUAGCGAAGGCGGCUUGCUGGGUCUUUACUGACGCUGAGGCACGAAAGCGUGGGGAGCAAACAGGAUUAGAUACCCUGGUAGUCCACGCCGUAAACGAUGAGUACUAAACGUUGGGUAAAACCAGUGUAGAAGUUAACACAUUAAGUACUCCGCCUGAGUAGUACGUACGCAAGUAUGAAACUUAAAGGAAUUGACGGGACUCCGCACAAGCGGUGGAUCAUGUUGUUUAAUUCGAGGGUACCCGAAAAACCUCACCAGGUCUUGACAUGCUUCUGCAAAGCUGUAGAAACACAGUGGAGGUUAUCAGUUGCACAGGUGUUGCAUGGUUGUCGUCAGCUCGUGUCGUGAGAUGUUGGGUUAAGUCCCGCAACGAGCGCAACCCUUAUUGUUAGUUACCAGCACGUAAUGGUGGGGACUUUAGCAAGACUGCCAGUGAUAAAUUGGAGGAAGGUGGGGACGACGUCAAAUCAUCAUGCCCCAUAUGACCUGGGCUACAAACGUGAUACAAUGGCUGUUACAAAGGGUAGCUGAAGCGCAAGUUUUUGGCGAAUCUCAAAAAAACAGUCUCAGUUCGGAUUGAAGUCUGCAACUCGACUUCAUGAAGUUGGAAUCGCUAGUAAUCGCGAAUCAGCAUGUCGCGGUGAAUACGUUCUCGGGGUUUGUACAAACCGCCCGUCAAACCACGAAAGUAGGUAAUACCCAAAGCCGAUGGCCUAACUUCCUAAGAAGAGGGAACCGUCUAAGGUAGGGUCCAUGAUUGGG
rnacentral:rRNA from 1 species